rnacentral:rRNA from 1 species
UACGAAGGGGGCUAGCGUUGUUCGGAAUUACUGGGCGUAAAGCGCGCGCAGGCGGCCAUUCAAGUCAGGGGUGAAAGCCCAGAGCUCAACUCUGGAACUGCCCUUGAACUGCAUGGCUUGAGUACGAGAGAGGUGAGUGGAAUUCCCAGUGUAGAGGUGAAAUUCGUAGAUAUUGGGAAGAACACCGGUGGCGAAGGCGGCUCACUGGCUCGUUACUGACGCUCAGGCGCGACAGCGUGGGGAUCAAACAGG